AGUCGAAAAGGUCUCCGUAGGUGAACCUGCGGAGGGAUAUUACCGAGUGAAGGGCGCUCCGGCGCCCGACCUCCCAACCCUUUGACGAAUCCAAACCUCUGUCUGCCUCGGGGGCGACCGUCCGCGGUCCCCCCGGCGGCGAAUUACCAAAACCCUGCAUCAAUUGUCGUCGGAUAUUGAAGCGAAUUCAAUUAAAACUUUCAACAACGGAUCUCUUGGUUCUGGCAUCGAUGAAGAACGCAGCGAAAUGCGAUAAGUAAUGUGAAUUGCAGAAUUCAGUGAAUCAUCGAAUCUUUGAACGCACAUUGCGCCCCCUGGCAUUCCGGGGGGCAUGCCUGUUCGAGCGUCAUUACACCAAUCACGCCUGGCGUGGUAUUGGGCGACGGGGCCCGUCACACGCCCCGCGCCCCAAUGACUCCCCGGCGGGACGGACCGUAUCUCAGCGUUGUGGCACAGCGCCUCAAGCUAUUUAAUACAGGCAACCAUGAAGAAUUAUCACUCUUUUGACCUCGGAUCAGGUAGGGAUACCCGCUGAACUUAAGCAUUCAAUAAGCGGAGGAAAAGAAACCAA
rnacentral:rRNA from 1 species